rnacentral:tRNA from 1 species
AAGGCUUUAAGUUAAUAUAAACUAAUAGCCUUCAAAGCUAUAAAUAUAAGAGAAUCUUUUAAGCCUUA